UAUCGGAAGGUGCGGCUGGAUCACCUCCUUUU
rnacentral:rRNA from 1 species